rnacentral:rRNA from 1 species
AGUGAACGCUGGCGGUAGGCCUAACACAUGCAAGUCGAACGGCAGCACAGUAAGAGCUUGCUCUUACGGGUGGCGAGUGGCGGACGGGUGAGGAAUACAUCGGAAUCUACUUUUUCGUGGGGGAUAACGUAGGGACACUUACGCUAAUACCGCAUACGACCUACGGGUGAAAGCAGGGGAUCUUCGGACCUUGCGCGAUUGAAUGAGCCGAUGUCGGAUUAGCUAGUUGGCGGGGUAAAGGCCCACCAAGGCGACGAUCCGUAGCUAGUCUGAGAGGAUGAUCAGCCACACUGGAACUGAGACACGGUCCAGACUCCUACGGGAGGCAGCAGUGGGGAAUAUUGGACAAUGGGCGCAAGCCUGAUCCAGCCAUACCGCGUGAGUGAAGAAGGCCUUCGGGUUGUAAAGCCCUUUUGUUGGGAAAGAAAAGCAGCAGGUUAAUACCCCGCUGUUCUGACGGUACCCAAAGAAUAAGCACCGGCUAACUUCGUG